GGAGACCUGUGGCUUCACAUCUCACUGGGCUAGAGACAGCACAGUGGUGAACUACCUCAUGUAGUAGGUGGUGGAACCUGCAGCCUGGGCAUGGGCAGCUACAACCACCUGUUACCACAGGAAGCAGAGAAGCUGAUACAGUCACUACAACAUAUUCUCCAUCUUCUCCUAUGCAGAAUCUGCCUGGUGGAGGUCUAACUCAGCAGAGUAUAAAGCAAAGACCUGAAGUGAAGAGCUCCUGUCUCAGACAAGAAAAUGACUAUGGGUUUAACUUAGUUAAAUGAUGGGGGGUUGACUCCAUAAAACAGGAUUAUGUCAUCCAUACAGGGAGGGGAUGUUAAUAUUUAUACAUUAGUUUACUGGGAUAGAAAAGCAGAUGUGAACCCACCGUUUGAACUGUCUUCCAUAAAAUGGAAUGAGAGGGGAUUUUGCCAUUCACUUUCACUAGGAGCAGGCUUACAGGAAGCUGCAGAGUCACAAAUAUGGAAAAUUUUGCAUGCUGAGACACAGGUGCUUC